GAUCCUGGCUCAGGAUGAACGCUGGCGGCGUGCCUAACACAUGCAAGUCGAACGGAGUUAUAUUUAUGAAGUUUUCGGAUGGAAUAAGUAUAACUUAGUGGCGGACGGGUGAGUAACGCGUGGGUAACCUGCCUCAUACAGGGGGAUAACAGCUGGAAACGGCUGCUAACACCGCAUAAGCAUACAGCAUCGCAUGAUGCAGUGUGAAAAUAUUAAUAGGUAUGAGAUGGGCCCGCGUCUGAUUAGCUGGUUGGUAAGGUAACGGCUUACCAAGGCGACGAUCAGUAGCCGGCUUGAGAGAGUGACCGGCCACAUUGGGACUGAGACACGGCCCAAACUCCUACGGGAGGCAGCAGUGGGGAAUAUUGCACAAUGGGGGAAACCCUGAUGCAGCGACGCCGCGUGAGUGAAGAAGUAUUUCGGUAUGUAAAGCUCUAUCAGCAGGGAAGAAAAUGACGGUACCUGACUAAGAAGCCCCGGCUAACUACGUGCCAGCCGCGGC
rnacentral:rRNA from 1 species